rnacentral:rRNA from 1 species
CCUACGGGAGGCAGCAGUGAGGAAUAUUGGUCAAUGGGCGGAAGCCUGAACCAGCCAAGUCGCGUGAGGGAAUAAGGCCCUACGGGUCGUAAACCUCUUUUGCCGGGGAGCAAGGGCGGGGACGUGUCCCGGCCCGGAGAGUACCCGGAGAAAAAGCAUCGGCUCACUCCGUGCCAGCAGCCGCGGUAAUACGGAGGAUGCGAGCGUUAUCCGGAUUGAUUGGGGUUAAAGGGUGCGGAGGCGGGCUUUUAAGUCAGCGGUAAAAAUUCGGGGCUCCACCCCGUCCGGCCGUUGAAACUGGGGGCCUUGCGUGGGCGAGAAGCAGGCGGACUGCGUGGUGUAGCGGU